UGCCCAGCAACUCCUAUCCCUACCUCCACGCGGUACCAGCCGGAAACUAUGAGCAACCUUGGUUUGCUUCGACAAACCUGAGCGUCUGUUCUCCAGGAGGAGC
rnacentral:ribozyme from 1 species